AUGGGGUGCCCCAACCUCUUACUGGGGACUCCAGUCCCUUACUGGCGGGGCUCCAAGCUCUUGGACCCCAUCCAAGCUCUUAUGGUGGGCCACCAACCCCUUACUGGGGGCUCUGAGACUUUAUGGGGGCCCCCAACCCCUUACUGGGGGGCUCCGAACCCUUAUGGGGGACCUUCACCGCUGCCCGCCGCGGCCACGUCACCGCCUCCGUCCCCUGGCGCGUCACCAAGCUGCCACUCUACGCCUCCAUCAGCCUCUACCUGCUCCCCGAGCGCCCCGCCACCCUCAUCCUCUACGAGGACCUGGUCCAAAUCCUCCUGGGAUCCCCAGGUGAGUGAUGGAUGGGGGGGAUGGGGUGACACCACCACCCUCAGGUGCUGCCACCCACCUUGUUGUCGUCGUGUGUGUGUCCCCCACCCCUCUCCUUUCCCCAGGUGCCCGGGGGCAGCCGUGGGCACAGUUCCCCCGGCGGGCAGCCCGCCUGCCCCGCAGCUCCACGUACAGCCAGCUCGCCGCGUCCCUCACCGCCGCCACCGGGCCCAGCCUGGCACGGGCCUUCCCCGCCUUCCUGGGGGCCGAGCAGGACGGCAGCGCCAAUGCCACCUGGCUGGAGCUGGCCCCCGUGGCGGCUCUCAGCGUCCACCUCUUCACCGGCAACGGGACGGAGGUGCCGCUGGCCGGCCCCAUCCAUCUCUCCGUCCCUUUGGCUCCCGACGCCGGGCCCGUGGUGGCCACCAGCGUGCCAGCCUGGAGGUUUGACCCCAAGAGCGGUGAGAGUUGGUUGGAGGGGACGGGGGGACGGGGGACAGGGGUGGCACGGCUCCUGCCAGGGAUGGCGGCGGUAGGGGUGAUGAGUUUGGGGGGGUCUCAGCCCGCUGCUGGGGGCCUGGGGGGGACGGGAUGGAUGUGUGUCCCUGC
rnacentral:lncRNA from 1 species